rnacentral:rRNA from 1 species
UACGGAGGGGGCUAGCGUUGUUCGGAAUUACUGGGCGUAAAGCGAGUGUAGGCGGUCUGCUAAGUCGGGUGUGAAAGCCCUGGGCUCAACCCAGGAAGUGCACUCGAAACUGGCGGGCUAGAGUAUCGGAGAGGUUGGUGGAAUUCUCGGUGUAGAGGUGAAAUUCGUAGAUAUCGAGAGGAACACCGGUGGCGAAGGCGGCCAACUGGACGAAUACUGACGCUGAGACUCGAAAGCGUGGGGAGCAAACAGG